rnacentral:lncRNA from 1 species
CUCUCGGAGCACGAGGCCUCCACUGCGGCUGCGUGGCCCCUUGGCGCGCCGGGGAGCCUUAGAGCGCGCCUGCGUACACUCGGCGAGCUCUGGGGGCUGCAUGCCAGGCGUCCUCCCGCCAGCCUCAGUCUCUCAGGGCGCUCGCUCUGCAGCCUGCGGUUUCCA